GCCCAGUAAGGUUGGGCACCCUUUGGUGCUCAUGCAAUACCCUCCGCAGGGCGUUAAGAGGGUAUCUUCUGCACCCUCCGGAGGGCCCAGGGUGCAGGCAGGACGCGGAGAAAGCCAGGGCGUCAGAAAGCAAUCCUGCUGGCUGCAGGUGCCCUGCUCUUUGAGCUGCGCAAGUCCAGCCCUCCUGUGUGUGAAGCCGGCCGCCCAAGGCUAACCGCAGAGUCCUGCAACCCAACAGCAGGUCUGCUGGGUCCUCUUACCCUGUUCUGCCCUCUCCUCUUCUUCUCUCCCCCUCCUGUCUUCCCCUCCUUUCCCCUCCUCCCAGGCUCUCCCACGGUUCGGGCGGGUAUUCAGCCGCCCUAGCCACUGGGGCUGCCACUCCGCCCCCCGCGCUGCGCGGAGGCGCAGUAAUAACCCCGGCGCGGGCGCUGGAGUGGCGGCUGGAAUCCUGAGCCCAGCCUGAGUGGGAUCCUCGCUGCACGCUUGCACACUGGUAGCUGGCUGCUGCCCGGUUGCGGGACAUCCAGUGAUCCGCCCUCACGGCCGAGCGCCCCUGGAUAAAGGCCUGCGAACUGUACUCAGGAGCGCAACGCCAGCUUGCGCGGGGAGACCGGGCUAUGAGGGUCCCCGGCUGCGCGACGCUCUGGGUGCUGCUGCUGGCGCAGGUCUGCGUG
rnacentral:lncRNA from 1 species